UUUCAUUUUUUUCUCUAAUUAAUUAUAAAUAAAAAAGCCUGCACGUUCUGUGCUGUCACUUGCAAUGUAUAACUCUUCACCAGCAAUGACUUUAGCUGACAGUUUGUAAUUAGAUGAAGAUAGAAGUUCUCUAAGUUCCAGCAGUGUAUCUGCACUUCUUGUCUUCUGGGUGUUUUUGCAAACUUAACUGUGUAAAUCAGGACUUUUACAUGUGAACAUGUAGAAUUGUUUCUGCUUCUAUAGCCAAUCAGAUUAGUAUUAUUUAGGUCACAUCUUUGCAAGAAAGCCGUGUUAUGUUGCAAUAUCAGCUAUGGGAGUGAUUUUUUUUUUUUUUUCUGACUGGGGAAAAUCCGAGUGCAAUAUGCAGCUAAACUAGAAGAAUCCCCGCAAAGACAUCAACAAAACAAAUCAUGCUUUUUCCUGGGAGAGCUUAUUUCUCUUUGGGUAGAGCUCUACAGCAAGUGCCAAAAAGACACAUUCUUUAAUGUAUGCAAUAGUUUUUCUUGGAUACAAUGUCGACAAUAUACACUUGUCAUUGGACGUAUUUGUGUAAUUUUCCCUCUAUAAUGUGUAACAGUGUGCCCCUGAAUUCCUGCAGCAGCAGAAGACCAGCUGAAUUCACCGUAAAGGCUACCUUCCAUCCAAGAGGCAUUCCAUCGGAGCUGCAGAAACUAUUCACGGUGCAGGGACUGCCAAGGCACACUGGAACGAGGAUAUCAAAAUCUUCUUCUGUAAUAUUAUUUCAGUCAUUUCAGUUUUAUAAAGGACAAAAGAAAACAUUACACAUUGCAUGGGUAGGCUUAUUUGUCUACUCUACAAGGCCGAACGUGACAGCUCUGCCUGAAAAACCACUUCGCAGAAUUAGCAGGUUUAUUUUGCACUGCAGCUUGCCAAAGCCCGAUUUCCAAACCCAGUGAUGGACAUCACAAAGAAGACAGUAGAGAAAUGCCAAAGCAUAGGUGCUGGUUCUUGUACAGGAACAACCUAGAGCUAACUCGGCCAAGCAAAUCCUGCACCAGUUACAUCCACAACACCCAUGUUGUGCGUGUAGCUACCGGCGGAGACUGGCAGGCAGCGGCCACCCUUUCCAGACUACUUUGUGCAUAUUACCUAUGAGUGAAUGUCGUCCUGGUUUUAACUUGCUAGCUCAAUGCAAUGCUUUCCUGUUCAAUUAAGCAGAUGUCAUGCUACAGCAGAGUACUUCUGGUGUUUCUGCUGUAAAUUAUUCAAAUCUGAAAAAGAAACAGUACUGGCUAAUAUUUGGGUACUCAAUCACAUACAGCAGGCACCUAUACGUCCCUUCUGCAAUGGCUGUAAUGAGCUGCUGCUGCAGUUUUGCUGAAUACACUGAAUAGUGUUCUGUUUUUCUGUUCUUUCUGAAUUGUCCUUUUCUAUUAAAAAAAGUGUUUAAUAAAUUUUAAGUAUAUAUGGGA